rnacentral:rRNA from 1 species
GACGUAGGGCGUGAGCGUUGUCCGGAUUUAUUGGGCGUAAAGAGCUCGUAGGCGGCUUGUUGCGUCGACCGUGAAAACCCGGGGCUCAACUUCGGGCUUGCGGUCGAUACGGGCGGGCUAGAGUUCGGUAGGGGAGACUGGAAUUCCUGGUGUAGCGGUGAAAUGCGCAGAUAUCAGGAGGAACACCGGUGGCGAAGGCGGGUCUCUGGGCCGAUACUGACGCUGAGGAGCGAAAGCGUGGGGAGCGAACAGG